rnacentral:rRNA from 1 species
GAUGAACGCUGGCGGCGUGCCUAAUACAUGCAAGUCGAGCGAACGGACGAGAAGCUUGCUUCUCUGAUGUUAGCGGCGGACGGGUGAGUAACACGUGGAUAACCUACCUAUAAGACUGGGAUAACUUCGGGAAACCGGAGCUAAUACCGGAUGAUAUUUUGAACCGCAUGGUUCAAAAGUGAAAGACGGUCUUGCUGUCACUUAUAGAUGGAUCCGCGCUGCAUUAGCUAGUUGGUAAGGUAACGGCUUACCAAGGCAACGAUGCAUAGCCGACCUGAGAGGGUGAUAGGCCACACUGGAACUGAGACACGGUCAAGACUCCUACGGGAGGCAGCAGUAGGGAAUCUUCCGCAAUGGGCGAAAGCCUGACGGAGCAACGCCGCGUGAGUGAUGAAGGUCUUCGGAUCGUAAAACUCUGUUAUUAGGGAAGAACAUAUGUGUAAGUAACUGUGCACAGCUUGACGGUACCUAAUCAGAAAGCCACGGCUAACUACGUG